GGGCUGGGGCUCAGUGGUAGAGCGCUUGCCUAGCAUGCAUGAGGCACUGGGUUCAAUCUUCAGCAUCACA
rnacentral:tRNA from 1 species